GUGCUGGCUUACAGUUGAAAUCUUGAUGGAAAACAGCUCUCAAAGUCCCGAUUACUACAAGGGAGAAUUGAAAACAAACCACUCUUGGACUCUGAGCAGAAGUGGCAGCAAUAUCUCUGCUUAGAAAUCUGCAGGUGAAGGAUGGAGCGAGGGUCUGUUUCUCAUUAGAGUUCUUGGCAAACGUUUUGAGGCGCAUCUGGAAAAGAAGGCACCAGUGAGACUAUAAACCCCUUGUGGACAGGAAUUAUGUCCAGUCUUAUUCAUCAUUGUAGAUGAUCAAGACACCACUCAGCACAGUGCCUGGGAUAUAACAGCCACCCCUGCCACCUGCCACACACAGGUUGUGAAGUGCAUGAGCGAAUGAAUGAAAAACUCCCCGACACCACGCUGGAGG
ensembl:lncRNA